AAGUCGUAACAAGGUUUCCGUAGGUGAACCUGCGGAAGGAUCAUUAUUGAAUAAACUUGGCUUGCUGAUGCUGGUCUCUCUGGAGGCAUGUGCUCGCUGGUCAUCUUUACUUCUCCACCUGUGCACCCACUGUAGAACUGGGAUUUGGGACUGCUGUGCUUAUUUGCCGGCUUUCCUUGCUUCCCUCCGGUCCUACGUUUUUUUUUCACAUACACCUAUGAAAUGUAACAGAAUGUAUCACUAGGUCUUUGAACCUAUAAAACAAAUAUACAACUUUCAGCAACGGAUCUCUUGGCUCUC
rnacentral:misc_RNA from 1 species